GGGGGUCACCGGGCAAAUUUUUUCAAGGCAUUCAAAUGGAUAAAACCAGAGGAUUCUGAAAAUCUGACAAAAAAUCCAAAACCUGACAAGCCAGCUUCCUUAACAGCUGUAUCAUGAUACGUGAUAUAUCUGUAAUUUUCCGAAUUUUUGAUCGAUAGUGAACCGUUUCAGUAUUUUUCUUUAAUUUUUUUUCGUGUAGCCGUCCGUCUCAGUGUUAUUCAGUUUUUGUACGAGAACACAUAUUACAAUAUUCAAAUUUAUUUAGGGGCUCAAUUAAGCAGAGGAAGUUCCCUUUUUUUUUGGAAUCUUUUAUGAUAUCGGAAAUUCGUUACCGGCUGAAUCAGCUGUUGGAUCAUUUUUGUUAUUGUCUCCCGAUCUUACGAGAGUAUUAUGUUCAAUACUUUAGUAGAUAAACACUCCCAUUCGUUGUAGCAAGAACUUUCUAUACUAAGUAUAUACUAUUAUAGAA
rnacentral:lncRNA from 1 species